rnacentral:rRNA from 1 species
CUCACUAGUCGAGUCGGCCUGCGCGGAAGAUGUAACGGGGCUCAAACCACACACCGAAGCUGCGGGUGUCACGUAAGUGACGCGGUAGAGGAGCGUUCUGUAAGCCUGUGAAGGUGAGUUGAGAAGCUUGCUGGAGGUAUCAGAAGUGCGAAUGCUGACAUGAGUAACGACAAUGGGUGUGAAAAACACCCACGCCGAAAGACCAAGGGUUCCUGCGCAACGUUAAUCGACGCAGGGUUAGUCGGUUCCUAAGGCGAGGCUGAAAAGCGUAGUCGAUGGGAAACAGGUUAAUAUUCCUGUACUUCUGGUUACUGCGAUGGAGGGACGGAGAAGGCUAGGCCAGCUUGGCGUUGGUUGUCCAAGUUUAAGGUGGUAGGCUGAAAUCUUAGGUAAAUCCGGGGUUUCAAGGCCGAGAGCUGAUGACGAGUCGUCUUUUAGAUGACGAAGUGGUUGAUGCCAUGCUUCCAAGAAAAGCUUCUAAGCUUCAGGUAACCAGGAACCGUACCCCAAACCGACACAGGUGGUCGGGUAGAGAAUACCAAGGCGCUUGAGAGAACUCGGGUGAAGGAACUAGGCAAAAUGGCACCGUAACUUCGGGAGAAGGUGCGCCGGCUAGGGUGAAGGAUUUACUCCGUAAGCUCUGGCUGGUCGAAGAUACCAGGCCGCUGCGACUGUUUAUUAAAAACACAGCACUCUGCAAACACGAAAGUGGACGUAUAGGGUGUGACGCCUGCCCGGUGCCGGAAGGUUAAUUGAUGGGGUUAGCGCAAGCGAAGCUCUUGAUCGAAGCCCCGGUAAACGGCGGCCGUAACUAUAACGGUCCUAAGGUAGCGAAAUUCCUUGUCGGGUAAGUUCCGACCUGCACGAAUGGCGUAACGAUGGCGGCGCUGUCUCCACCCGAGACUCAGUGAAAUUGAAAUCGCUGUGAAGAUGCAGUGUAUCCGCGGCUAGACGGAAAGACCCCGUGAACCUUUACUGUAGCUUUGCACUGGACUUUGAGCCUGCUUGUGUAGGAUAGGUGGGAGGCUUUGAAGCGUGGACGCCAGUUCGCGUGGAGCCAUCCUUGAAAUACCACCCUGGCAUGCUUGAGGUUCUAAC